GACGAACGCUGGCGGCGUGCUUAACACAUGCAAGUCGAACGGAAAGGCCCUGCUUUUGUGGGGUGCUCGAGUGGCGAACGGGUGAGUAACACGUGAGUAACCUGCCCUUGACUUUGGGAUAACUUCAGGAAACUGGGGCUAAUACCGGAUAGGAGCUCCUGCUGCAUGGUGGGGGUUGGAAAGUUUCGGCGGUUGGGGAUGGACUCGCGGCUUAUCAGCUUGUUGGUGGGGUAGUGGCUUACCAAGGCUUUGACGGGUAGCCGGCCUGGGAGGGUGACCGGCCACAUUGGGACUGAGAGACGGCCCAGACUCCUACGGGAGGCAGCAGUGGGGAAUAUUGCACAAUGGGCGGAAGCCUGAUGCAGCAACGCCGCGUGCGGGAUGACGGCCUUCGGGUUGUAAACCGCUUUCGCCUGUGACGAAGCGUGAGUGACGGUAAUGGGUAAAGAAGCACCGGCUAACUACGUG
rnacentral:rRNA from 1 species